AACGAACGCUGGCGGCGCGCCUAAUACAUGCAAGUCGAGCGAGAAGACGUAGCAAUACGUUUGUAAAGCGGCGAACGGGUGAGGAAUACAUGGGUAACCUACCCUCGAGUGGGGAAUAACUAGCCGAAAGGUUAGCUAAUACCGCGUACGCUCCUUGGACUUCGGUUCAGGGAGGAAAGCGAUACCGUGGGUAUCGCGCUCUUGGAUGGGCUCAUGUCCUAUCAGCUUGUUGGUGAGGUAACGGCGUCACCAAGGCUUCGACGGGUAGCUGGUCUGAGAGGACGAUCAGCCACACUGGCACUGCGACACGGGCCAGACUCCUACGGGAGGCAGCAGUAAGGAAUAUUGCGCAAUGGGCGAAAGCC
rnacentral:rRNA from 1 species